UACGUAGGGACCAAGCGUUGUUCGGAUUUACUGGGCGUAAAGGGCGCGUAGGCGGCGCGGUAAGUCACUUGUGAAAUCUCUGAGCUUAACUCAGAACGGCCAAGUGAUACUGCAGUGCUAGAGUGUGGAAGGGGCAAUCGGAAUUCUUGGUGUAGCGGUGAAAUGCGUAGAUAUCAAGAGGAACACCUGAGGUGAAGACGGGUUGCUGGGCCAACACUGACGCUGAUGCGCGAAAGCCAGGGGAGCAAACGGGG
rnacentral:rRNA from 1 species